AGCGAACGCUGGCGGCAGGCUUAACACAUGCAAGUCGAACGCCCGUAGCAAUACGGGAGUGGCAGACGGGUGAGUAACGCGUGGGAACAUGCCCUUUGGUUUGGAAUAACUCAGGGAAACUUGGGCUAAUACCGGAUACGUCCGCAAGGAGAAAGAUUUAUCGCCGAAGGAUUGGCCCGCGUCUGAUUAGCUAGUUGGUGAGGUAACGGCUCACCAAGGCGACGAUCAGUAGCUGGUCUGAGAGGAUGAUCAGCCACAUUGGGACUGAGACACGGCCCAAACUCCUACGGGUGGCAG
rnacentral:rRNA from 1 species